rnacentral:rRNA from 1 species
AUUGAACGCUGGCGGCAGGCUUAACACAUGCAAGUCGAGCGAGAGGCGGACGGGUGAGUAAUGUACGGGAAAAUGUGUGUUGGAGGGGGGUAACAACAGGAAACAGUAGCUCAUAUCGCAUAUCACCAGAUAUGCCCCGAGGGGAUUAGCUAGUAGGUGGGGUAACGGCUCACCAAGGCGAGGAUCCCUAGCUGGUCUGAGAGGAUGACCAGCCAAACUGGGACUGAGACACGGUCCAGACUCCUACGGGAGGCAGCAGUGGGGAAUAUUGCACAAUGGGCGCAACCCUGAUGCAGCCAUGCCGCGUGUGUGAAGAAGGCCUUCGGGUUGUAAAGCACUUUCGGCGAGGAGGCGUUACCCGCAGAAGAAGCACCGGCUAACUCCGUGCCAGCAGCCGCGGUAAUAC